rnacentral:rRNA from 1 species
GGUAGAGGAGCGUUCUGUAAGCCUGUGAAGGUGAGUUGAGAAGCUUGCUGGAGGUAUCAGAAGUGCGAAUGCUGACAUGAGUAACGACAAUGGGUGUGAAAAACACCCACGCCGAAAGACCAAGGGUUCCUGCGCAACGUUAAUCGACGCAGGGUUAGUCGGUUCCUAAGGCGAGGCUGAAAAGCGUAGUCGAUGGGAAACAGGUUAAUAUUCCUGUACUUCUGGUUACUGCGAUGGAGGGACGGAGAAGGCUAGGCCAGCUUGGCGUUGGUUGUCCAAGUUUAAGGUGGUAGGCUGAAAUCUUAGGUAAAUCCGGGGUUUCAAGGCCGAGAGCUGAUGACGAGUCGUCUUUUAGAUGACGAAGUGGUUGAUGCCAUGCUUCCAAGAAAAGCUUCUAAGCUUCAGGUAACCAGGAACCGUACCCCAAACCGACACAGGUGGUCGGGUAGAGAAUACCAAGGCGCUUGAGAGAACUCGGGUGAAGGAACUAGGCAAAAUGGCACCGUAACUUCGGGAGAAGGUGCGCCGGCUAGGGUGAAGGAUUUACUCCGUAAGCUCUGGCUGGUCGAAGAUACCAGGCCGCUGCGACUGUUUAUUAAAAACACAGCACUCUGCAAACACGAAAGUGGACGUAUAGGGUGUGACGCCUGCCCGGUGCCGGAAGGUUAAUUGAUGGGGUUAGCGCAAGCGAAGCUCUUGAUCGAAGCCCCGGUAAACGGCGGCCGUAACUAUAACGGUCCUAAGGUAGCGAAAUUCCUUGUCGGGUAAGUUCCGACCUGCACGAAUGGCGUAACGAUGGCGGCGCUGUCUCCACCCGAGACUCAGUGAAAUUGAAAUCGCUGUGAAGAUGCAGUGUAUCCGCGGCUAGACGGAAAGACCCCGUGAACCUUUACUGUAGCUUUGCACUGGACUUUGAGCCUGCUUGUGUAGGAUAGGUGGGAGGCUUUGAAGCGUGGACGCCAGUUCGCGUGGAGCCAUCCUUGAAAUACCACCCUGGCAUGCUUGAGGUUCUAACUCUGGUCCGUGAUCCGGAUCGAGGACAGUGUAUGGUGGGCAGUUUGACUGGGGCGGUCUCCUCCUAAAGAGUAACGGAGGAGUACGAAGGUGCGCUCAGACCGGUCGGAAAUCGGUCGUAGAGUAUAAAGGCAAAAGCGCGCUUGACUGCGAGACAGACACGUCGAGCAGGUACGAAAGUAGGUCUUAGUGAUCCGGUGGUUCUGUAUGGAAGGGCCAUCGCUCAACGGAUAAAAGGUACUCCGGGGAUAACAGGCUGAUACC